UCCGCACACACUGCACUGGUCCAGGCUCCUGGACAGGGGCGGUAGCCAUGGCCCAGCCUGCCUUCCUGUUACUCAGUUAAACACCCAGGUGCCACUGUUUGCUCCAGAAAAUCGCCUCAAACAUCUGCGAGCUAAACGACCAGUUCCAGAGGCAUUAAAUGGCUGCUUUUGUUUUAAAGGAUUUUCCAGUUUCACUGGCGAGCGAGCAGGGUACCACGUCACAUCAUGCUGUCUCCUUCCCUUGAAUGCCUGUGGCCCAGGAGGUGCCCCACCCAGCUCUCCUCCCUCCCAAGGACUGCUGUGGAGCAUGGCUGACAGCCCCAGCGGUGCCACCUCUGCAUCCAGCAUCCCUCUCAUGAGGAGAAGUGAGCAAGAGCCCCAGGCACAGGCUCUGGGCAUGAGCCAGCCGCCCCUCCUGCCCAUCCAGGGCUCCAUCCCCCUGGGAAGGGACAGCAUCUGCCCAAGAGCAGGACCCAGCCACGGCGUGGCCUCCCUGAGCUUCACAAAGUAUUUUAAAAGCGUUUUUGGUUCAAUAAGACUCUAAACAAGUCUUGCCAAGCACUUUUUCCAUUAAUUUUUAAACCAGAGUGAAUUUCAAGGGACAUUUAACCCGUGUGCUUCUGAAUCAUUUCCCCUGAACUCGUCAAGAUGCUGCGUCAGAACAGUUGGGGGUCCGAGCGAUGGCAGCUCCUCACUGCCCGCCGAAGCCUCUUUUCGUCUUAGAAGCAGGAAGCGGCAAACGAACAUGAAUCCCUCAUCGAGGAGGCCUGGGGCUCGCGGGCGGAGGGCAGGCAGCAGGCGGUGGGCAGGCAUGAGGUGAACAGUCGUCAGGACCGCCCAGCUAGGCCCGCAGGGGGCUCCGUUCUGAGGUGGGCGGUGGGCUCUGGGCCGGGUCCCCCCAGGCUUUCCUCCACCUGGGCCUCAGGUACUCAGACAGCGACAGUCCCCUUACAGUGUAUUUUUUUAAUUGUGUUAAAACACAUAUAACAACAAUUCACCGUCUUAACCAGUUUGAGGCCCACGGUUCUGUGGCAUUACAGCACGUUCACACUGUCGUGCAGCCACUGCACCAUCCAGUCCCAGAGCUCUUUCCAUCUUCCCAGCUGGAGCUCUGUCCCCAUGAAACACGAGCCCCCAGCCCCUCCGAUUCUGUCUCUGUGACUUUGCACACUCGCUCCAGGUCCCUCGUACGAAUGGCAUCAUACAGUGUUUGUCCCGAUGUGAGUGGCUCACUUCACUCACAUGUCCUCCAUGUUCAUCCAUGUGUAGCAGGGAGCAGGGGUCAGCACUUCCUUCCUUUUUAAGGCUGAGUAAUACUCCAUUGAAUAGAUGGACCACAUUUUGCUUAUCCAUCCAUCCGUGGAUGGAUACGGGUUGUUUCCGCCUUUGGCUGUUGUGAAUUAUGCCGCAGUGAGCAUGGGGGUGCAGACACCUCUUGAGACCCUGCUUUCAGCUCUCUUGGGGGUGUUCCCAGAAGUGGGGGUGCGGGAUCCUGUGCUGAUUCUGUGUUUGGCUGUUUGAGGACCUGCCAGACUGCUCUCCAAGGCAGCUUCUGCUGAGUUUGCAGGUGCAUUAUCACGGCCGGCACUGGGGCAGGCUCUCACAAGGGGCGCCCCUGGAGGACUCGGCUCCAGAGGAGACGCCACUAGCUACCUGCCCUCCGCUGGGCGGGAGGCCACAGAGAGGGGCAGCAGGAACUCAAGGCUACUGCCCCGGGCCUGGGUCAGGUCUGGCUGUGUCCGACCAUUUCAGAGAAGCCGAGAUGCAGUCAGAAGCGGUCGAGCCCCCAACGGCCUGGCGACAUCCCCUCCUAGUGCCCGCCCAUGUCCUCGGUCGGCUCCCACUGGCCGUGGCCCGGGUGAGCACCCACUGCUGAUCACUGACUGCGGGAAGGGGCAACACCUGGCUCCGCAGUCCGAGUUUCCCGUCCCUGUCCACCUGGCCCCUCCUGCUCUCACGACUGGGUGCCAGUCCUCACAGAGCCCUGGGGUUCCGGUGGCAGCGCUGGUGACAGCAGCGCUGGUGACAGCAGCCCUGGUGGGCGCUCCUGCUGCUCCCUGCCAAGCCCUUUUUCCCAGUGUGGGGUCUUUCCAGGGCCUCGGCCUCCCUGCCACUCCAACUGCACCCCUGCGGUGCCAGGUGCCCAACCGGGAGCUGCCCUCUGAGCCAACAGGAGGGGUCCCCAGCACCGCCGGUGGGACACGCUGCUGGCAGGGGUGGCUGCCCUAGUAGGAAGAAGGGCCUCCCUCCCAUCUGUCGGCAUCUCGGGCAGGGUGGGCAGCCCCUACGCUCUCCUGGGAGGGCUCUCCAGGAAAGUGACAAGCAGACGCAGCACCCUGGCCUGGCUUUAUGCCCAGACUUGGCUGAGGGGGAGGCAGAUGGGCCCCGGGGUGGCACUGGGACCAGCCAGGACUCCGGAGGGCAGAGGCGAGGCCCUGGCAUGGCCUGGGUGCCUGGGGGCUGCUCACAAAGGAUUCAUAAGCAGAGGAACCGAAUGUGGCCGCUGCAUGGACUGGCCUCCAGCCCAGGAGCUGUGGCUGCAAUGGCCCCAAAGACAUCCAGCACGUCCUAAUCCCAGGAAUCUGAGAAGGUGUCACCUCCCGUGGCAGAAGGGGCUGUGCGGGACGAAGGUGAGGGCCCUGAGCUGGGAGAGGCCUGGGCUGCGGUGGGCCCAGGGCAACCACAGGGUCCUCCUAAGAGGGAGGCCGCAGGGUCUGGGGAAUGGACGGUGAGGACAGAAGCGGUAGAGGGGGGUUGGAAGAUGCUGCGCUGCUGGCUUUGAGGAUGGGGGACGGGGCCAUCAGCCAAGGAUGCGGGCGCCUGUUGAAGCUGCAAGAGGCAGGGGAUUCGUUCCCCCUGGAGCCUGCAGAAGGAGCCAGCCUGCCCACACCUGGGUUUCUAGCCAGAGAAACCCACUUUGGGUUUCUCACCUCCAGGACUGUGAGAGAACAUGUGUUGUUUUUUCCACUAAUUUUGUGGUCAUUUGUUAGGGUUGCAAUAGGACUAACACAGUCUGAUGCAAAAUCAGGACUGUGUUCCUUCAAUGUUCCUACAUACGCCUUCUGUGGUCUCCCGGCCCCAGCCCAGCCCUUCAUCAUUUCUCAGCGGACCACUGCUUUCCGGACACUUCGGUCAUUAAAUAUCCAGCAUAAACCUUCCUCCACAGGGCAGGGUGGGAGGUAGGAGGCUGCAAGCCCCUCUCCUCCACUCUCACUCCUGGGGGGCUGGCCGGCAUCUGUGCCCUCCCUGCCCCAGGGCCUCCCCCGAACCUCCAGACACCUGGGGCUGGCAUCCUCCUUGGCAGCCAGCUCCACAGUCCCAGGUAGUGGGACCACUGGCCCAGAUCUCAGGGCUCAGGGCUGGAGGUCAAAGGUCAGCUGGGGGAGGAGGGGAGGUUUUCCCCAUGAAGUCCCCCAUCCCAGGUCCCCCUGCUGGUUUGCCUGGCCCUCCAGGGUCCCACACUGGCCCGGCACAGGUACCUGGGAGUCAUCACCUAGUGUCCAGAUGCAUCCAGCUUCCACAAUCAGGGAUGGUGACCCGCUGAAGCAAACGAAGCCCAUCUAAUCCACAUGCAGCCAUGAGGGCCUCGCCCCAUCACUGCAAAAGUGGGUGUGGGAAGGAGCUGUCCCAGGUCCCCAGAAACUGUGCCUGGAAGUCAAGGGACUUUGGUGAGAAUCCUUCUGAGCUCCAGUAGGUUUUUGCUUUGCACAGAGCUCCUCCUGUAACCGUGCCGGGUACACCAUGCAGAUCCUACAGCAACAAUCACUUUAAUUAGGAAAACAGGCAGCAGCUUCCCCCAGGAGCCGCAGGUGGUGUAACAUUACCUUCACAACUUUCUGGGGCUACAAACUGACUCUAGAGAAAAACAGAAACAGAUAAUUAAAAAUGCACCUGUAACGUCGGAGUUAGAUGCAGAACGGGAAGAUAUGGCAGGUCCUUCUUGGGACCCAAGUUAACUUUCCCGACAGAACCUGCAGCAAGAGAACCUGCCCCAACCGCCGGCCAGGCCUGGCCGUGGGUGUGGCCUGGGGGGGGUGCCAGGGGCGCUUGAGAUCUGCUGGCUAUUCUUCUCCAUGAUCCAUCGUGGACGCCCUCAGAACUUCCCAGGCUGGAGCAGCUAGCUCCGCCUGGGGCCUGGGGUGAGGCCGAGUCCCAGUCCCUGGAGGAGGCAUCCGUGCUGUGGGUCUGAGGGCAGCCACCUUUCAGCUCUAGCUUGCGGAGCACAGCAAGGCUCCCAGCACCCCUCCUCCUGGGCGCGGACCACGUUGUUGUCAUGGUAACAGCCUCUGGAUGCUCAAGAGCCCUGCCUGUUCCCGGUGUCUUCAGAGACAAGACCCCUUUCCUCAGGAGCCAGGGGAGAAACUGAGUCACGGCGACAGGCCAAAAGAGGGCACUUAGGAAGGAGGACGUCUGAGGCCAAGUGGACGUUGGGGUCCAGGGGCCCGAGAGCCCAGGGCGGAUGCCACGUGGCCCAGCUCAUUUGUUGUGGACAGCACUCCCUGUGGUUGUGUGGCAAAGCCCUCCGUGUUCACGCAGAAGGCACAUAUGACUCCUGAACGCCCUGAGUCACACAGAUGUCCAGGGUCUGCCUCACAGCAGUCUGUCCCUCAGGGGUGGGUGGCAGGCUGGGUGCUGGGCAGAGGGACGCGAGGACUCAACCUGGACCCUGACACACAAUAAAUUACUGGUCAUGAAAUAAAACCAUCUUGGUGCUCGGCUGACGUGUCUGUACCUGAACUGAUAUUAACUAACUUUAUUAUCUAGGAAGUUAAGUUAGGAGUCCAGUGAUCACCUCCACUGUACUGGGUUGAAUGGUAUCCCCCUAAAUUCAUGUCAAUCCAGAACCUUGGGAUGGGACAGUAUCUGGAAAUAGGAUCUUUGCAGAUGUAAUUAGCUGAGACGGGGCCGCCCCAGAGCAGGGGGGCCCUAGGUCCAGGGACUGCUGUCCUCAUACAGUCAAGGAAAUUUGGAUGGACACACAGGGAGACGUGUGAGGAUGGAGACCAAGGUCGGAGCCAUGCGGCCACAAGCCCAGGAAGCCAACCCCAGAGGUGGGAAGGGGCCGGCAGGGUCCUCCCCCAGAACCUCGGGACGAAGCACAGCCCUGGGCACUUUCAUGUCCGACGUGUGGCCUUAGAACCCAGAUGGUGGGUCUCUCGUUCACUCCAGUCCAGGGAGUGAGUCCCUGCCACCCUGCAGUCUAGCCAGCCCGGCAGGCCGUGAGGACCCAGGGCCCCAAGGCCUCCAUUCGGCUCUCGGCCGGAGCCUCCUGAGACCUUGAUGCCGGGCAGCUGUCCACCCGAAACUGGUCAUUGAGGGCUCAGAACCUUCCGGGCCCAGCAGGCAGUUUCUCCACUGGGGAGGGGCUGUAGGCCUGGACACAGGGCAGGUGCCUGGAGGUCCCUCCAGAAGGACCAGGAGACCCCGCCUGGACACCUGGGGCCUUGCUCUCCCUGGAACCCCCGAGUGGGCUUUAAUAGGAUGAGGGGACCAUGCUUCUCAUUCAGGCAAAAGACAUAAUGUGUAUGCAAAUACUCGUGGGGAGGCGGGAACUCUUCAGCGAGAGUGAACCUGGGAUCCGUCGGGGAGUCACGCAUUCUGGGAUCCAUUUGUUUGGGUUCAAGGAGACAUCCAGAUUCUAAAAACCUUGUUAGCAUCCCUGAGCCAAGGGGCCGGCCUA